rnacentral:lncRNA from 1 species
UUGCGGGUCGGCAGGUUCGAUGAGGCUGCGCAGAAGCCUCGCUGCGGCGGUGAUGUUUUGGCUAGCCCGAGCAAACUGUGGGGGGUCGUCCCCCCAGCUAGGAUGUUGCGUUGGACCUGGCGGGUGCGACCUCGAGUGCCGCUCACCAGGUUGCGCGCGUGCGGCUCGGAGCGUGCCGCUGGGCGUGCCAACGAUGGUGGCUAGUAGGCCUACCGCUAUUGUUGUGGCUCAUUGCCGUGCGCCUACACCUGCGCCUGGGCCUCCACGUGGUGGUC